rnacentral:rRNA from 1 species
UAACAGGUGACGGGGAAUCAGGGUUCGAUUCCGGAGAGGGAGCCUGAGAAACGGCUACCACAUCCAAGGAAGGCAGCAGGCACGCAAAUUACCCACUCUCAGAACGAGGAGGUAGUGACGAAAAAUAACAAUACGGGACUAUUAAUAGGCCCCGUAAUUGGAAUGAGUACAAUAUAAAUCCUUUAACGAGGAUCUAUUGGAGGGCAAGUCUGGUGCCAGCAGCCGCGGUAAUUCCAGCUCCAAUAGCGUAUAUUAAAGUUGCCGCGUUUAAAAAGCUCGUAGUUGUAUCUCAGUUCAUGUCAAUUGGUCAAUCACUUAAUAGUGAUUACUUUUUGACUGAACAUUGAACCGAUUUGUUUUCUGAUGCUCUUUACCGGGUGUU